rnacentral:lncRNA from 1 species
UGAAGUCAGUCUGGGAAGGAAAGCCGGAGUGAAUGCCUUGCUGGUAUGAUGGCGGGGGCGUGAUGAUCGUGUGCGCGUGUGUAUGUGUUUAUUAUGUAUGGACGUGUGGGUGUGUGGGUGUGGGUGUGCCUGCGCUACUUUGUCCGGUUGAAAGGACAGACGGUGUAUGUCUUAAUUAGGCUUCAGGCUCGCUUACCAAUUGGAAGGUAGAGUGAAGGCACGUGAGUGAGAGUGUGCUGCGAGGGAGUGAGUGUACUGCGCUUGCUGGUGAGGGGGGGGGACGGGGUCGGAAUGGAGUGCACACAUCGCCGACUGAGGGGAAGGUGUGGGCUAAAGCUGUGUGCUGCCGUUUAGCUUCUUUUGGCUGCUGGAUGGCGCCCUGCUGGGCUCAGAUCUCAACAAGUGAGACGGUCCAAUGGCCUGGGGGGCUGACCGUAGCGCUGCGAGGGAGUGCUGCGGGUGUGCUACAUGACUGCCUGUGUCCCCUCCCGCUGAGCUCUCACCAUGUGCCGCACAGCGCUGCUGAACGCGCAGCGGUGCAGCGCGUGUAGGUGUGAUGCAGAUUGGCCUGCAGGGGGGUGGGUGGGUGGACGGUGCGUCGUGUCAUGAUGUGAUGCGAUGUGUAGAAGCUGACUCCACGAGAGUAUCUAUUUGUGUUCUGCAGGUUUUGGAUAUCUAACGGAAACCCAACCGCUGCCUUACCAGCCCUUUACCAGCUCUCCCCUUGUGGCCUCGCAUGCUCAUGUGUGGUUUCCUCUUCUAUCUCGGCUUGACUGUGCUUAGCCAGGGGUCGCUGACACGGGACUCAACAUCUCCGUUGUUGACACACCAGAGGCACCUCCCUUAUAGUGUGUCGGGUGUGGGUGCCGCAAGUUCAAGGAGGGGUUCGUGAGGGCAUCCCGAGUAGCAGUCUGAUCUAGAGCUCGCUUCUGUCCCACCUCUCGCUGGCUCCUCUCGACAGCGAAGCCAAGGCAUGGAGGCAGCGUAAGGCAGCUUAAGGAUGUAGCACCAGAAUGAAAUGGCACCCACAGGGGCUGUAAUGAUGGCAGUUGGGGUUUGCCAGUGGAGCUAAUCACCCAAGCGGCUAAAAGCGGCUACCGUUGUUCAGCAGGAAAGUGGAGCAUUGGUGGGACUGCCCGUAGGGCGGGUAGGGCCGGGUGUCGAGGUGCCGAGAUGCGUGGGCGGACUGGUAAACUCUUACGACAAAAGGUUCAAGGCAGUCCUGAGAUGCCCUUGGUUCGACAAGAACGGGGUUCUACACAUAAGGGACUACUCUUCAUCGUUUCCGCUACGAGCAACAGGAGCAGGGUAAUAUACGGCAGUACAGCUUUGUGAUGUAGCCUGGUGUACGAAGCAUCCCAUCGUGACACAUCAUGAUAAACCAAAGAGAACCAAAGUUACUUAAACCAUUUCCAUUUGCCUGUUUCAAUAAUACAGCUUUGUAUUAGGUUAUACUUGUAUCAGGUUUACACAUGAAGUGAAAUUUCUUUCUCUAUGCCAAACCCGGUGACGGCCUGCACAUACCGGUACUGCUAGGACAGCACUGCAAACUCCCACCGAGCAACCCCGCAUUGAGCCUUUAGGGCACGAUAGCUCAUUAACGCGGCCGUGCCUAUCUCCCGUUCACCUCCGCACACUAAGUCCGACCGCUUCGCCUGUCGCGACAUUUGCCAUUUGCCAUGGCCGAGGCGGAACAUGUCACCAUCCACUCCGAGACGCUCGACUUCAAUGCGGACUGUGCAGAAUUCUGCCCACUGCCGGGAUUCACGCACUUGCUGGCCCUGGGCACCUACCAGUUGCUUGAGGAAAAGCAGGAGCGUGUGGGCAGGUGCUACCUGCG